rnacentral:rRNA from 1 species
ACUCAAAUGAAUUGACGGGGGUCCGCACAAGCGGUGGAACAUGUGGUUUAAUUCGACACUACGCGAGGAACCUUACCUAGGCUUGACAUGUUUUUGACAGUCGUAGAAAUACGAUCUUUCAGGCGUAAGCCUGAACAAUUACACAGGUGCUGCAUGGCUGUCGUCAGCUCGUGUCGUGAGAUGUUGGGUUAAGUCCUUUAACGAGCGCAACUCCUACCAUCAGUUGCAAUUCUUCGGAAGCACUCUGAUGGGACUGCCUGGGAAACCAGGAGGAAGGCGGGAAUGACGUCAAGUCCGCAUGGUCCUUAUGCCUAGGGCGACACACGUGUUACAAUGGCCAGUACAAAGGGCUGCAAACUCGCAAGAGCUAGCCAAUCCCAAAAAGCUGGUCUAAGUUCAGAUUGAGGUCUGCAACCCGACCUCAUGAAGUUGAAAUCGCUAGUAAUCGCAUAUCAGAACGAUGCGGUGAAUACGUUCUCGGACCUUGUACACACCGCCCGU